rnacentral:lncRNA from 1 species
UGCCCUUCGGUUUGAAGAACGCCGGAGCCACGUGCCCAAAAUUUGCCCUCCUUAUUCACGCAUUCAUUUUUAGGUCAUUUAACAUUAGAUACAUUGCAUUUCAUCAUGUCAAUCGGGAUUAGCUCCAAGAAACUUUAUUUUAAAAAAAAAAAACGAAAAAGAACGAAAAAAAAAAUUUAAUUAAUUAAAUAAAUAAAAAGAAAAAAAUCUCAGACUUGGACCUCUCUCAA